ACAACUGUUUCAGGAACCAUUUUGGAGGAAGCAUUAAAUGGGUCUAUUGUGGUUUCCCAGCUCCAGCUAGGAAACUCUGUGCGCAAGAAGAUGUUGGCCUUCAUUCAUGUUUCGUCGCAAGGUCCAGGACGAAGAAGCCAGGAGAAGCACAAAGUUCUUGAUCAUUGGAGCUAGUUAUUGUUUUGAUUUUUUAGUUGUGUUACCUGAUGUGAACUAGUUUUGAUUGUAAACCUGAUGCGAACCAUGUUUGAUUGAAAUGUGCCAAGUUUGGAUAUGUUUGAUUGUAUUCAUGAUGUGACAGAGGUUCAAGUUAUAAUGGUUGUUUGACAUAUUUUGUAA